rnacentral:tmRNA from 1 species
GGGGGCGAACGGUCUCGACUGGGUGGGAAGCAGCGGGGCUGCGAGCCGAGGUGGCCAGGUCCUCGCUAAUCAACUGGCAGGCGCAUAAACGCCAACAACCAGUACGCUCUCGCCGCUUAGAUAGCGACGACGCUCUCCCGGUAGGGCCGGCGGCCCGGG